rnacentral:miRNA from 1 species
UGAGGUGGACACAUGGUGCAGU